rnacentral:rRNA from 1 species
ACACAGGUGCUGCAUGGCUUGUCGUCAGCUCGUGUCGUGAGAUGUUGGGUUAAGUCCCGCAACGAGCGCAACCCUUGCCAUUAGUUGCUACAAAAGGGCACUCUAAUGGAACUGCCGGUGACAAACCGAAGGAAGGGGGGGAUGACUUCAAGUCCUCAUGGCCCUUUUGGGUGGGGCUUCCCACCUCAUACAAUGGGUGGUACAGAGGGUUGCCAACCCGCGAGGGGGAACUAAUCCCCAAAAGCCGCUCGUAGUCCGGAUCCCUCUCUGCAACUCGACUGCGUGAAGUUGGAAUCCCUAGUAAUCGCGGAUCAAAAUGGCGCGGUGAAUACCUUCCCGGGUCUGUUUCA